rnacentral:rRNA from 1 species
GACGAACGCUGGCGGCGUGCUUAACACAUGCAAGUCGAACGGAAAGGCCCUUCGGGGUACUCGAGUGGCGAACGGGUGAGUAACACGUGGGUGAUCUGCCCUGCACUUUGGGAUAAGCCUGGGAAACUGGGUCUAAUACCGAAUAGGACCACGCGCUUCAUGGUGUGUGGUGGAAAGCUUUUGCGGUGUGGGAUGGGCCCGCGGCCUAUCAGCUUGUUGGUGGGGUAAUGGCCUACCAAGGCGACGACGGGUAGCCGGCCUGAGAGGGUGACCGGCCACACUGGGACUGAGAGACGGCCCAGACUCCUACGGGAGGCAGCAGUGGGGAAUAUUGCACAAUGGGCGCAAGCCUGAUGCAGCGACGCCGCGUGAGGGAGGACGGCCUUCGGGUUGUAAACCUCUUUCACCAGGGACGAAGCGUAAGGGACGGUACCUGGAGAAGAAGCACCGGCCAACUACGU